rnacentral:rRNA from 1 species
AUGCCCUGCUCUAUGACAUACGUUUCUGAUGCAUAUCCCGGCACCUUGACGCCACCGCUUGCUCAACAUAUUGACUUAGCUGACGUACCUGAUUCUUCUGACUUGUGCAAAGGACUCACUAAUGACCCUGAUGUGCCUGUGCUUUUGGAAUCGCACCGGCAACUUGUUGGUGAAGGUUCCCACCGCCGUCUUGUCUAUUCCAUGAAAUUUGGUAACAGCGAAGAUACUUUGGUAAAAUUCCUUGAUGGCUAUGAUGCGAAUCUUGUGAUAAUUGAGAGCCUCCCUAGUGGGGUCUUUGUUGACCCAUUCGAGCUACAUCAUUUUGUUGAACGAAAAGUUUUUCUUGAUGUUGCUGUUUUUGGAGACACAAACCUGGAACUCCCCUCAGCUCUGUCCAACCGGUCAGCUGUUGAGAUUCAUUUUGAUCUCAAGCCAAGCACAUCAAUGAACUGUAACCUUGUGAUGGAGCUUCCUCUCCAUGCUAGAUACCCACCUCUCGACGCCAGUGGUUACGCAAGGGUUGAGUUGGUCAGCCCUGACCUGCUCCUGCGUUACAGAAGAAAGGAAACCCAUCCUGAUUCCUGCCUGUGGAUCCUCCAGAAUCUCGACGCCGCGCCUGUGGAGAAAGCCACGUAG